rnacentral:rRNA from 1 species
CCUACGGGUGGCAGCAGUGGGGGAUAUUGCACAAUGGGGGAAACCCUGAUGCAGCGACGCCGCGUGGGUGAAGGAGCAUUUCGGUACGUAAAGCUCUAUCAGCAGGGAAGAAGGAAGACGGUACCUGACUAAGAAGCCCCGGCUAACUACGUGCCAGCAGCCGCGGUAAUACGUAGGGGGCAAGCGUUAUCCGGAUUUACUGGGUGUAAAGGGAGCGUAGACGGCUGUGCAAGCCUGAAGUGAAAGCCCAGGGCCCAACCCUGGGACUGCUUUGGGAACUGUGGGGCUGGAGUGCUGGAGGGGUAAGUGGAAUUCCUGGUGUAGCGGUGAAAUGCGUAGAUAUCAGGAGGAACACCAGUGGCGAAGGCGGCUUACUGGACUGCAACUGACGUUGAGGCUCGAAAGCGUGGGGAGCAAACAGGAUUAGAUACCCCUGUAGUC